rnacentral:rRNA from 1 species
UAUCUCUGUAGAGUCUGCAUAUCAAUAAGCGGAGGAAAAGAAACUAACUAGGAUUCCCUUAGUAACGGCGAGUGAAGCGGGAAGAGCUCAAAUUUGAAAUCUUCAAGGUUCUACCUUGACGAAUUGUAGUUUAAAGAAGUGUUUUCUGUUAGAUGAGUAGCAAAAGUUCCUUGGAAUGGGACAUCAUAGAGGGUGAGAAUCCCGUAUUUGGUUAUUCAUUCUAGCUUUGUGAUACACUUUCAAAGAGUCGGAUUGUUUGGGAAUGCAGUCCAAAAUGGGUGGUAAAUUUCAUCUAAAGCUAAAUAUUGGCGAGAGACCGAUAGCGAACAAGUACCGUGAGGGAAAGAUGAAAAGAACUUUGAAAAGAGAGUUAAACAGUACGUGAAAUUGUCAAAAGGGAAGCGUUUGACACCAGUGUUGUUUUCUCGAAAAUCAAUUAAAAAAAGUUGGAUUUUGUAUUGUUAAGACCUUAUCAGCUUACUGUACUCUUUUCUUGCUUUUUUUAAUGCACUUUUCGUUUAACAAGUCAACAUCAAUUUCUUUUGUUGUAAAAGGGUCAUUGGAAGGUGGCUUUCUUUUCGGAGAAAGUGUUUAUAGCCUUUGGCCUCUGCAAUCGGAGGGAUUGAGGUCUGCAGCGUAGAUCCUUCGGGGUUAGAUACAUUUGUGCUAAGUUAUAGCCUUUCAUAGACAACUUGUUGACUAUGAUCAGUCAUGUAGCUUACUCGCUUAUGCUAUUUUACCUACGCUUAGGAUGUUGAAGAUGUAGCACAUCAU